UACGUAGGGGGCAAGCGUUAUCCGGAUUUACUGGGUGUAAAGGGAGCGUAGGCGGUUCAGCAAGUCAGUAGUGAAAGCCCGGGGCUCAACUCCGGGACUGCUUUUGAAACUGUUGAACUAGAUUGCAGGAGAGGUAAGUGGAAUUCCUAGUGUAGCGGUGAAAUGCGUAGAUAUUAGGAGGAACACCAGUGGCGAAGGCGGCUUACUGGACUGUAAAUGACGCUGAGGCUCGAAAGCGUGGGGAGCAAACAGG
rnacentral:rRNA from 1 species